GCGGCAGGCUUAACACAUGCAAGUCGAACGCAUCCUUCGGGGUGAGUGGCAGACGGGUGAGUAACGCGUGGGAACGUGCCCUUCAGUUCGGAAUAACCCAGGGAAACUUGGGCUAAUACCGGAUACGUGCGAGAGCAGAAAGAUUUAUCGCUGAAGGAUCGGCCCGCGUCUGAUUAGCUAGUUGGUGAGGUAAUGGCUCACCAAGGCGACGAUCAGUAGCUGGUCUGAGGGGAUGAUCAGCCACAUUGGGACUGAGACACGGCCCAAACUCCUACGGGAGGCAGCAGUGGGGAAUAUUGGACAAUGGGCGCAAGCCUGAUCCAGCCAUGCCGCGUGAGUGAUGAAGGCCUUAGGGUUGUAAAGCUCUUUCGGCGGGGACGAUAAUGACGGUACCCGCAGAAGAAGCCCCGGCUA
rnacentral:rRNA from 1 species